GGGCUGUCGCUGACUCAAAGUCGUGCACGCCCGAGUGUGUCGCCUCACAUAAUAAUCCAUCUCACCCUUUGUGCAUCACCGCGUGGGCACCCCUUUGGGAUCAUCUCGGAGGGGGCUCGCGUUUUCACACAAAACCCCCCUUUUAAAAGUGUAGAAUGACCUCAUUUAUGCGCUAACCCGCAAUCAAUAC
rnacentral:misc_RNA from 1 species